rnacentral:piRNA from 1 species
ACAACUGAACAAAAUUCUUAGAGCUAC